rnacentral:rRNA from 1 species
UACGUAGGGUCCGAGCGUUGUCCGGAAUUACUGGGCGUAAAGAGCUCGUAGGUGGUUUUGUCGCGUUGUCCGUGAAAACUCACAGCUCAACUGUGGGCGUGCGGGCGAUACGGGCAGACUGGAGUACUGCAGGGGAGACUGGAAUUCCUGGUGUAGCGGUGGAAUGCGCAGAUAUCAGGAGGGAACACCCGGUGGGCGAAAGGCGGGGU